CUGUUAUGACCCACACAAAACCCCUGCCUCCCCAGUUGUCCACAUCAGAGGCCUAAUUGGCGGUGUAGUGGAAGCUGACCUUGUGGAGGCCUUGCAGGAAUUUGAACCCAUCAGCUAUGUGAUGGUAAUGCUUAAAAAGAGACAAGCACUGGUGGAAUUUGAAGAUGUGCUAGGGGCUUGCAACACAGGGAACUACACAGCCGACAACCAAAUAUACAUUGCCGGUCACCCAGCUUUUGUCAACUACUCUACCCGCCAGAAGAUCUCCCCCCGCCCCGAACUCGGUAACUCCGGGAGCGUGAACCGUGUGCUUCUUUCUCUUUACCAUCCUGAACCCCAGAUCACCACGGAUGUUCUUUACACUAUCUGUAAUCCUUGUGGCCCUGUCCAGAGAAUUGUCAUUUUCCGGAAGAAUGGAGUUCAGACCAUGGUGGAAUCUGACUGUGUUCAAAGUGCCCGGUGGGCCAAGGCCUCGCUCCAUGGGGCUGAAAUCUAUUCUGACUGCUGCACUCUGAAGAUCGAAUACGCGAAGCCUACACGCUUGAAUGUGUUCAAGAAUGAUCAGGAUACUUGGGACUACACAAACCGCAAUCUCAGUGGCAAGGUGACCCUGGCAGCAACUCAAACGCCAGAGGCAGCCCCCUCUCCUGGGAGAUCACCCCACAGAAUAUGGAGGUCCCUACGGUGGGUAUCACAGUCAUUACCAUGAUGAGGGCUACGGCCCCCCAGCCCCCCACCUCACUAAGAAGGGAGAGGGAUGGGUCCACCAGUGGGGGGAGUCACCGUCGGGGCCCAAGUCGCUACGGCCUCCAGUAUGGGCACCCCCACCCUUCCCCCACCACCCGAGCAUGGCCCUCACGCCGACAGCCCUGUGCUCAUGGCCUAUGGCUUGGAUCAAUCUAAGAUGAACUGUGACCAAGUGUUCAGCGUUUUCUGCUUGUAUAGCAAUGCGGAGAAGGUGAAAUUCAUGAAAAGCAAGCCGGGGGCCGCCGUGGUGGAGAUGGCUACGCUGUGGACCGGGCCACUACCUACCUCAACAACAAUUUCAUGUUUGGGCAGAAGCCGAAUGUCUGUCUCCAAGCAGCCAGGCAUCAUGCCCGGUCAGUCAUGCGGGUUGGAAGUCAGGUCUUGCAGUUACAGAGACUUCAGUGAAUCCCGAACAAUCGGUUCCCCAUCCCGGUGCGGGCACAAGAACCGCAUCCAGCACCCCAGCAACGUGCUGCAGUUCUUCAACGCCCCGCGGGAGGUGGCCGAGACGUGCGAUGUGCUGGGCGUGAAGCGGCCAUCCUCCGGGAAAGCAUUCUCAGGCAAAAGUGAGCGCCGCGGCUCUGGGCUGCCGGAACCGGAAUCCAAGAGCGAUGCCCUGGCGACUCCGGGCACCACUGCCAGAUGAAAAACCCAGAUGGUCCGUACCCUCACACUCUGAAGCUGUGUUUCUCCACCGCUCAGCAUGCCUCCUAA